rnacentral:tRNA from 1 species
CAUAGGCCCAGUAGUCUAGUGGUAAAGACAUAUUGUUUUCACCAAUCUAUCGAGGGUUCGAUUCCCUUCUGGGCUC